AGAGUUUGAUCAUGGCUCAGAACGUACGCUGGCGGCACGCCUAACACAUGCAAGUCGAACGAAGUAGCAAUACUUAGUGGCAGACGGGUGAGUAACAUGUAGGUAUCUGCCCUUUGGCCUGGAAUAACACGAGGAAACUUGUGCUAAUACCGGAUAAGUCUUUACGGAGAAAGCUUUAUGCACCAUUGGAUGAGCCUGCACUUGAUUAGUUUGUUGGUGGGGUAAUGGCCUACCAAGACUUUGAUCAAUAGCUGAUUUGAGAGGAUGAUCAGCCACAUUGGGACUGAGACACGGCCCAAACUCCUACGGGAGGCAGCAGUGGGGAAUCUUGCACAAUGGAGGAAACUCUGAUGCAGCGAUGCCGCGUGAGUGAAGAAGGCCCUUGGGUUGUAAAGCUCUUUCGUCGGGGAAGAAAAUGACUGUACCCGAAUAAGAAGGUCCGGCUAACUUCGUGCCAGCAGCCGCGGUAAUACGAAGGGACCUAGCGUAGUUCGGAAUUACUGGGCUUAAAGAGUUCGUAGGUGGUUGAAAAAGUUGGUGGUGAAAUCCCAGAGCUUAACUCUGGAACUGCCAUCAAAACUUUUCAGCUAGAGUUUGAUAGAGGAAAGCAGAAUUUCUAGUGUAGAGGUGAAAUUCGUAGAUAUUAGAAAGAAUACCAAUUGCGAAGGCAGCUUUCUGGAUCAUUACUGACACUGAGGAACGAAAGCAUGGGUAGCGAAGAGGAUUAGAUACCCUCGUAGUCCAUGCCGUAAACGAUGUGUGUUAGACGUUGGAAAUUUAUUUUCAGUGUCGCAGCGAAAGCGAUAAACACACCGCCUGGGGAGUACGACCGCAAGGUUAAAACUCAAAUGAAUUGACGGGGACCCGCACAAGUAGUGGAGCAUGUGGUUUAAUUCGAAGAUACGCGCAGAACCUUACCAACACUUGACAUGUUCGUCGCGACUUUAAGAGAUUAAAGUUUUCGGUUCGGCCGGACGAAACACAGGUGCUGCAUGGCUGUCGUCAGCUCGUGUCGUGAGAUGUUGGGUUAAGUCCCGCAACGAGCGCAACCCUCACUUUUAGUUGCCAUCAUUUAGUUGGGCACUCUGAAAGAACUGCCAGUGAUAAGCUGGAGGAAGGUGGGGAUGACGUCAAGUCCUCAUGGCCCUUACGUGUUGGGCUACACACGUGCUACAAUGGUAUUUACAACAGGAAGCAAGACAGCGAUGUUAAGCAAAUCCUUAAAAAAUACCUCAGUUCGGAUUGCACUCUGCAACUCGAGUGCAUGAAGCUGGAAUUACUAGUAAUCGUGGAUCAGCGUGCCACGGUGAAUGCGUUCCCGGGUCUUGUACACACCGCCCGUCACACCAUGGGAGUUGGUUCUACCUUAAGGCAAGGUUUCAAACCCUUGACCACGGUAUAGUCAGCGACUGGGGUGAAGUCGUAACAAGGUA
rnacentral:rRNA from 1 species